rnacentral:misc_RNA from 1 species
UUGUCCGCCUGAGUGCUCCUCAGGUGAACUACCGUGAAAGCAUCUCAAAGACCUCUGAAGUGCAGUACAUUCACAAGAAGCAAUCAGGCGGACAAGGGCAGUUCGCAGACAUCACUGUGAGGUUUGAGCCGUUGGAGCCAGGAAGUGGGUAUGAGUUCAAGAGUGCGAUAAAGGGAGGAUCAGUGCCAAAAGAAUAUAUCCCUGGAGUGAUGAAAGGGCUGGAAGAAUGCAUGAGCAACGGGGUGCUCGCGGGCUAUCCUGUUGUUGAUGUCCGAGCAGUGUUACUUGAUGGAAACUAUCAUGAUGUAGAUUCGAGUGUUCUGGCAUUUCAGCUGGCUGCGCGAGGUGCUUUCCGAGAGGGAAUAAGAAAAGCAGGUCCAAGAAUGCUGGAGCCAAUUAUGAAAGUCGAGGUGGUCACACCGGAAGAACACUUGGGCGAUGUUAUUGGCGAUCUGAAUUCUAGAAGAGGCCAGAUCAACAAUUUCAGUGAUAAGCCUGGCGGUCUUAAGGUGGUUGAUGCUCUAGUGCCACUAGCCGAAAUGUUCCAGUAUGUGAGUACUCUUCGCGGGAUGACAAAAGGUCGCGCUUCGUACACGAUGCAACUCGCAAAGUUCGAUGUG